rnacentral:rRNA from 1 species
AUGAACGCUGGCGGCGUGCCUAAUCCAUGCCAGUCGAGCGAACGGACGAGAAGCUUGCUUCUCUGAUGUUAGCGGCGGACGGGUGAGUAACACGUGGAUAACCUACCUAUAAGACUGGGAUAACUUCGGGAAACCGGAUCUAAUACCGGAUGAUAUUUUGAACCGCAUGGUUCAAAAGUGAAAGACGGUCUUGCUGUCACUUAUAGAUGGAUCCGCGCUGCAUUAGCUAGUUGGUAAGGUAACGGCUUACCAAGGCAACGAUGCAUAGCCGACCUGAGAGGGUGAUCGGCCACACUGGAACUGAGACACGGUCCAGACUCCUACGGGAGGCAGCAGUAGGGAAUCUUCCGCAAUGGGCGAAAGCCUGACGGAGCAACGCCGCGUGAGUGAUGAAGGUCUUCGGAUCGUAAAACUCUGUUAUUAGGGAAGAACAUAUGUGUAAGUAACUGUGCACAUCUUGACGGUACCUAAUCAGAAAGCCACGGCUAACUACGUG